UCAUCUGAAACCGUGGACAAGAUAUCCUCCCUGUAAGAAUUGCAAACUUCAACUUCAACAUCAAUUUUGUGUGUUAGCAUUUAGGGCGUCAGGUUGAAGACGAUUCGGUAAACCCUUCGGAUGAUCCUAUAGAUGAUUCAAGACCUGAAGAUUGAAGAUAUAGAAGCAAGAUUCAAUCUGAUUAUAUUUGAUCUUGUUUAAUUGUCAAAGUAAAUAUUUACUCAAAAAAUCUUCAAAACUAUUUAAAUGAAAAUUCAUUCUUAAAACUUAAAUGUAAAACUUUUGAGUUUACUGUCUGAAAUCAUAAACAUUUUAUAUUCAGAACCAUGAAUUUUAUAUGGAUUUUAUCUAAAAGAUAUUUAGCCAAUAUUU